rnacentral:rRNA from 1 species
UACGGAGGGUGCGAGCGUUAUCCGGAAUCACUGGGUUUAAAGGGUGCGUAGGCGGCCCGGCAAGUCUGUCGUGAAAUUCCCCGGCUCAACCGGCGGGACUGCGAUGGAAACUGCCGGGCUUGAAUGGCGGCGGGGCCGGCGGAAUGUGGCAUGUAGCGGUGAAAUGCAUAGAUAUGCCAUAGAACACCGAUCGCGAAGGCAGCUGGCCAGCCGUGCAUUGACGCUGAGGCACGAAAGUGUGGGGAGCAAACAGG